AUUGAACGCUGGCGGCAUGCUUUACACAUGCAAGUCGAACGGUAACAGGCCGCAAGGUGCUGACGAGUGGCGAACGGGUGAGUAAUGCAUCGGAACGUGCCCAGUCGUGGGGGAUAACUGCUCGAAAGAGCAGCUAAUACCGCAUACGAUCUAUGGAUGAAAGCGGGGGACCGGAAGGCCUCGUGCGAUUGGAGCGGCCGAUGUCAGAUUAGGUAGUUGGUGGGGUAAAGGCUCACCAAGCCAACGAUCUGUAGCUGGUCUGAGAGGACGACCAGCCACACUGGGACUGAGACACGGCCCAGACUCCUACGGGAGGCAGCAGUGGGGAAUUUUGGACAAUGGGGGCAACCCUGAUCCAGCAAUGCCGCGUGCAGGAAGAAGGCCUUCGGGUUGUAAACUGCUUUUGUACGGAACGAAACGGUCUGGGUUAAUACCCUGGGCUAAUGACGGUACCGUAAGAAUAAGCACCGGCUAACUACGUGCCAGCAGCCGCGGUAAAAC
rnacentral:rRNA from 1 species